rnacentral:rRNA from 1 species
UAGGGAAUCUUCCGCAAUGGGCGAAAGCCUGACGGAGCAACGCCGCGUGAGUGAUGAAGGUCUUCGGAUCGUAAAACUCUGUUAUUAGGGAAGAACAAAUGUGUAAGUAACUAUGCACGUCUUGACGGUACCUAAUCAGAAAGCCACGGCUAACUACGUGCCAGCAGCCGCGGUAAUACGUAGGUGGCAAGCGUUAUCCGGAAUUAUUGGGCGUAAAGCGCGCGUAGGCGGUUUUUUAAGUCUGGUGUGAAAGCCCACGGCUCAUCCGUGGAGGGUCAUUGGAAACUGGAAAACUUGAGUGCACUAGAGGAAAGUGUAAUUCCAUGUGUAGCGGUGAAAUGCGCAGAGAAAUGGAGGAACACCAGUAGCUACGGCGACUUUCUGGUCUGUAACUGACGCUGAUGUGCGAAAGCGUGGGGAUCAAACAGG